GACGAACGCUGGCGGCGUGCUUAACACAUGCAAGUCGAACGGAAAGGCCCUGCUUUUGUGGGGUGCUCGAGUGGCGAACGGGUGAGUAACACGUGAGUAACCUGCCCUUGACUUUGGGAUAACUUCAGGAAACUGGGGCUAAUACCGGAUAGGAGCUCCUGCUGCAUGGUGGGGGUUGGAAAGUUUCGGCGGUUGGGGAUGGACUCGCGGCUUAUCAGCUUGUUGGUGGGGUAGUGGCUUACCAAGGCUUUGACGGGUAGCCGGCCUGAGAGGGUGCCCGGCCACAUGGGACCUGAGAGCCGGCCCAGCUCCGUCGGGGAGGAAGAGGUGGGGAAUAUUGACAAAGGGGCGGAAGCCUGAUGAAGAAACGCGGCGGGCGGAAUGCCGGCUUUCGGGUUGUAACCGCUUUCGCCUGUGACGAAGCGUGAGUGACGGUAAUGGGUAAAGAAGCACCGGCUAACUACGUG
rnacentral:rRNA from 1 species